rnacentral:rRNA from 1 species
AUUGAACGCUGGCGGCAGGCCUAACACAUGCAAGUCGAGCGAGCGGCGGACGGGUGAGUAAUGUAUGGGGACUGCCCGAUAGAGGGGGAUAACUACUGGAAACGGUGGCUAAUACCGCAUACUAUCGGAUAACCCAUAUGGGAGUAGCUAGUAGGUGGGGUAAAGGCUCACCUAGGCGACGAUCUCUAGCUGGUCUGAGAGGAUGAUCAGCCACACGUGGACUGGGACACGGCCCAGAAUCCUACGGAGGCAGCAGUGGGGAAUAUUGGACAAUGGGCGCAAGCCUGAUGCAGCCAUGCCGCGUGAAUGAAGAAGGCCGUCGGGUUGUAAAGUUCUUUCGGUAGCGAGGCGUUGACUACAGAAGAAGCACCGAGUAGCUCCGUGCCAGCCGCCGCGGUAAUAC